rnacentral:lncRNA from 1 species
UUAAGUGGAGUUUACUUGUUUGGCUUGGAAUAUUGCAACUAUUUCCUUGUGUUUCUUUUAAAUCUUGUUAGGUGUGUGAGUUUCAUUUAAUGGUUAAAGUGUUCUUUUUGACUUGAUAAGAAGUUCUGCUGGUAUUUAUGGCUUUUGCUAUUGUUCUUAAUCAGGUUUGCCAGUGUCAUGCAACUUUUGGUUUUGAAAUUGUUUUUUUUGCUGAAUGUGUGAAUUCCUUAAGCUAAUGUGUUGUAACUAAAGACAUAGUUUUGAUCGUUGCAGACCUUUUUUUUAAUGGCUUCUUAAGUGUAUACUUUAAAGCUGAGAGAUUAUCUAAUGUAGUGGAGAUUAUCUAAAUAGGUUGAAUUUACUAUAUGAUUAAAAGAAUAGGACAACCAUGGUUUG